rnacentral:sRNA from 1 species
CACCUACAAGUGGUACAAGCAAACAACUAAACAACAUUUGGCAAUACACAAACAUCAGGAACAAACUUGUUUCACUACAUAAAAAGGAGCAGACAUAAGAAUAUGUAUUUAGUGUAGAGUAUCUCUAGAUCCUAGCACUAUUCCUCUUAUUUCACUUGACUGAAACUGUCAGGCUUUGUAAUGUGCACUUACAAAAAUAAGAUACAAAUAUACACACUCAAAAUUCCUUUGUUUAGAAAUACCAAGUUCACAUCUUUAAAGAUACAUAGAUAAAAAAACAACAACUAAGUGCAAUAACAUAGGAAGUUUGUAGCUAUUGGAGCACACAUCUUUCUGAUGUCAUUGAUAGUACUUUAUCUUACUGCAUAGAUUUCAAACUCCAAUGAGAUCAUUAUUAAUAAUAUUUGUUGUCAUCAAACUCACCACAGCUGUGCUGAGCACGUCUGAAAUGGAGAUAUCUAAUAGGCUUAUUGUUUAACUUAUGAAAGAAAUACAGCUCCUUGUGGUAUAUAAAGUUUGUUUCCAUGUGUCCAACAGAUUGACUAAGAUCAUGAGGACCUGACUGCUGUACAGAAAUCUGAAGACGCUUCUCUGUGUUGACUCUGAAUUUAAAUACAUCUUUGUCUUUAGGACACACAGAGUAGCCUCCCUUGCCAUCAUCUUCACGGAAUUCAAGACUCACAGAAAAUGUAAAAGGAUAUCACAGCGAAAAACAUGGCACUGGAAGAUGGUAUUCUCAGCAGUGUCGCCAUGGCUACAAGUGAAAGCAAAACACUGCCUCUC